rnacentral:rRNA from 1 species
AGAGUGUGGGAGAGGAAGAUGGAAUUAGUUGUGUAGGGGUAAAAUCCGUAGAGAUAACUAGGAAUACCAAAAGCGAAGGCAAUCUUCUGGAACACUACUGACGCUGAGGCGCGAAGGCGUGGGGAGCAAACAGGAUUAGAUACCCUGGUAGUCCACGCAGUAAACGAUGAAUGUUAGUCGUCGGGGGCCUAGUGUCUUCGGUGAUGCAGCUAACGCAUUAAACAUUCCGCCUGGGGAGUACGGUCGCAAGAUUAAAACUCAAAGGAAUAGACGGGGACCCGCACAAGUGGUGGAGCAUGUGGUUUAAUUCGAAGAUACGCGAAGAACCUUACCUAGCCUUGACAUAUUUUAGAACUCCGUAGAGAUACAGAGGUGCCUUCGGGAGCUAAUUUACAGGUGCUGCACGGCUGUCGUCAGCUCGUGUCGUGAGAUGUUGGGUUAAGUCCCGCAACGAGCGCAACCCUCGUCACUAGUUACUAACGGUUCGGCCGAGGACUCUAGUGAGACUGCCUUCGUAAGGAGGAGGAAGGUGAGGACGACGUCAAGUCAUCAUGGCCCUUACGGCUAGGGCAACACACGUGCUACAAUGGCCAGGACAGUGAGACGCGAUACCGUGAGGUGGAGCAAAUCUAUAAACCUGGUCUCAGUUCGGAUUGUAGUCUGCAACUCGACUACAUGAAGCUGGAAUCACUAGUAAUCGUAGAUCAGCUAUGCUACGGUGAAUACGU